CAACUCUCAACAACGGAUAUCUUGGCUCCCGUAUCGAUGAAGAACGCAGCGAAAUGCGAUACGUAGUGUGAAUUGCAGAAUUCCGUGAACCAUCGAAUCUUUGAACGCAAAUUGCGCCCGAGGCUUCGGCCAAGGGCAUGUCUGCCUCAGCGUCGGUUU
rnacentral:rRNA from 2 species